rnacentral:rRNA from 1 species
UAGUGGCGAACGGGUGAGUAACACGUGGGCAAUCUGCCCUGCACUCUGGGACAAGCCCUGGAAACGGGGUCUAAUACCGGAUACGAGUUUCAUAGGCAUCUGUGAUUCUGGAAAGCUCCGGCGGUGCAGGAUGGGCCCGCGGCCUAUCAGCUUGUUGGUGAGGUAAUGGCUCACCAAGGCGACGACGGGUAGCCGGCCUGAGAGGGCGACCGGCCACACUGGGACUGAGACACGGCCCAGACUCCUACGGGAGGCAGCAGUGGGGAAUAUUGCACAAUGGGCGGAAGCCUGAUGCAGCGACGCCGCGUGAGGGAUGACGGCCUUCGGGUUGUAAACCUCUUUCAGCAGGGAAGAAGCGCAAGUGACGGUACCUGCAGAAGAAGCGCCGGCUAACUACGUGCCAGCAGCCGCGGUAAUACGUAGGGCGCAAGCGUUGUCCGGAAUUAUUGGGCGUAAAGAGCUCGUAGGCGGCUUGUCGCGUCGGUUGUGAAAGCCCGGGGCCUUACCCCCGGGUCUGCAGUCGAUACGGGCAGGCUAGAGUUCGGUAGGGGAGAUCGGAAUUCCCU